rnacentral:lncRNA from 1 species
GAGGAAGAAUGUGGGGACGCCACAGCCCUGGGUCCUAGGUAAGGGAGCCAUGGAUGUAUUUCCCAGAUGGCAGCAUGCGGGCCAGGGGUUCACUGUGGCUGGGGGAGGAACGUGAGCGCGAGACCACUUACCUUUAGUGUAACUGUGAACACCAUCACGGUGAAUACCAGCGUUCCAAACGUCCAGUUUCCAAAUAUCUGUUUGGGGAAAAUAGUCCAAGUCAUCUCGUUUUUAUGUAUUUUUUUUUCUCUUUCACAAUCAAGAGUUUUAGAAAAUACACCUCAUUUUUCUUGUGUGCCAACACUUCAAACCCCAAAGAUAUAAGCACUAUAUUUUCUUAUUAUCCCGUAAAAGAAGAUGCAGCAACUCCCCAGAGCACGGCAGGACGCCCCCAUUUCCCGGCUGCAUCUCCCACCACCAGUUCUGUGGCUUGGUGAUGGGCUCAGAGCCUGCCUAUCUGCAACUUGCUGCCCGCUCCUGACGCUGGCCCUGCUCAAUGCUCUCAGCCACAACAGACGUCCCAAGGUCUCAAACUGAGCACAAAAACUCCCUCACAGCUGGCAUUUAAAUAUCCAUAAUGCAAA